rnacentral:rRNA from 1 species
GCAAUAAAUCACAAUGCGGAACAAUGUUUUGCAAUUGGAUUGAGAACAACGUACAAACCUUAUCGAUAAACAAUUGGAGGGCAAGUCUGGUGCCAGCAGCCGCGGUAAUUCCAGCUCCAAUAGCGUAUAUUAACGUUGUUGCAGUUAAAAAGCUCGUAGUUGAAAUGAAGGGUAGUUGUGUAAUGAAUACAUUCGUGUAUUUUGUUAUUCUACUACCCUCCUUCUAAAUUCGAUAUAUGAGUAUUAAUUUACUUGUAUAUGGUUUUAGACCUUUACUGUGAGAAAAUUAGAGUGUUCAAAGCAGGCAUUUGCUUGAAUAUAUUAGCAUGGAAUAAUCAUGUAUGAUUUUCAUGAUGUAUUUGAUUGGUUUGGUUCAUGAGAAUAAGAUUAAAAGGGACAGUUGGGGGUAUUCAUAUUCAAUAGUCAGAGGUGAAAUUCUCGGAUUUAUGGAAGAUGAACAAGGCCGAAAGCAAAAAUGAUGACUACGCCCGCUUUUAUC